rnacentral:piRNA from 1 species
UACAUCAUGGCUCCACCUGCAUCUCCUUGGU